rnacentral:tmRNA from 1 species
GUAUAUAUAAAGCGUCGGUUAUCCGACUAUGGCAAUAAACGGCGUAUGUAAUAAGCGUCAUGGACCCGGGGGCAGUACCCGGCGCCUCCACCACUUAGUAAAUUUUUCCGCACAGCAACGCGGAUCUCUAUGGGGGCGAACUAGGUUCGACAUGCGUGGUAAAGGUGCGGUUUUUGCUCGGCAUGAUACCACCGUUAUCGGGUCAAAAACACAACUGCCAACGAUAAUCAAUUGGCACUCGCUGCUUAGAAUUUCUAGGUAAGCGCGGUCCGGGGGGCACCGGGCAACAGAAGCCCCUCACUGAUUACACUUUAUUCGGCCGUAAUAUGAACGAUAAUUG